CUUCAUCACUCUGUGCAUAGUCACUGUCUUCAAAGUCUGGAUCACUGCUAUCAUCAUCCUCAGAACAAGAAUAUUCUUGAUCACUGCUAUCAUUCCCCACUUGGCUUGAAGUCAACCUCACUACCUUCAAGUACAAAACUAUCACCCUGCUAUUGCUUUUAGGUACCAUGCUCAUACAAGCUAAAAGCGUACUAUCAGAUAUUAUUUGAAUGAGUCUACUAGUUCCAAACUCUUCACCAUAAAAACUCACAUCAUACCCAUCGUCAUAUCCCAAAUCUUUAGCCAUUCCAAAUAGCUCUAACAUGGACAUAUAGUCAACCUCACAGUAAUCAAACCAACUGACUUCACCACCCAAAUAAGACCAUUGACUGUCCUUUCUAUUUUUAACUAGUUUACCUCUAUGGAAAAACUUAAAUGUGACAACCUCAUCAGCAUCUUUAUCUGCGUAAGAGGAAGAUUCACUUAACAAAUGGAAAAAAACACACAAAGAGAAAACAAGGACCACACAAGGAUAAUACAAGGAACACCCAAGGACCACAUAAGGUAUAUUGGGGCCAGCACAGAGUAAAAAAGUAUAUGAAAAAACAAAAAAAAAUCUGGCAACACACCAAACUAGGAACAUGCAAGGACCACACAACGACCAUACCAAGACCACCACAGAGCCAAAAAGUAUACAAAAAACAAAAACAAAAUCCUAACAACAGUUCAAUGCACAUGCCAAAAUCAAGAAAAUCGAGUAAGAAUGGGUCCACUUACAUAUGGGUUGAAAACCUCCAGAUUCUCUAAGCACCACCAUCUUCACACUUUCUAGCCUUAAAGUCUAACGCCAAACCCCUAAUUUCUUCUCCAGCUUCUCCCAAAAUCGAACCCACCCUUUCACAAACCCUAAGCCCUCUUCUCCUAUUUCCCCUUCUCACCCAAUUUCCCCCUUUGUUUGAAUUGAGAAACCCUUAUUCGAAGAGAGUUUAAAGGUUAAAAUGGAGUGGGACCCAAAGCUCGUAACAGAACAGCUAAAAAACUGACGGAAGCGGUAACGUGAGACGGUUUUUAAAAGGUUAGAGGGUACUUUGAGACGUUUUCAAACACAAGUGGUAAUCUGAGACAAGUUUGAAAGCACAGGGAGCAUGUACAUAAAUAAGCCAUUUAAAAAUGGCAAAUAUGGUAAGCCUUGUUGGCCUCGUCGACCCUAAACAAGCUAGCGCUCAAUCUGGAUCGUUAACUUACAAAUCCAAACAUCUGUCAGACCGCCUGGAGACGACAAAUGGGGACCAAUUUUUCUUCAUGCCUUAUAAUCCAGGGGGUCAUUGGGUGUUGAUUAUUGUGAGGCCAGCUAAGGAGAUGGUAUAUUAUAUGGAUUCAUUGCCAAACCGCUCGGUUGACGAGUGCAUGAGAAAUAUAGUGAAUACUGCAAUCAAAAUGUAUAACUCUCACGUAGGCAAACAAUCAUCAUGUAAAUCAGCCAUAUGGAAAACUCUACACAACACUCCUUGACAACCAACAAAUGUAGAGUGUGGCUACUACCUGAUGUGUUUCAUGAGAGAUAUAAUUCAUGAUCCAGACCUAGCAUUUUAGAAGAAGUUUAACAAGAAAAAAGAACCAGCCAAGUACAUAUAAGUAGACAUUGAUGAAGUGAGGCUGGAAUGGGCAGAAUUUGUUACAAAGCAAAUAGAGAAUUUGACAUAAUUUUUAUUAACAAUGUUUAGGGUUUAUUAACA